CAUCUCCAGAAAUCGCCAGUAGAAUUGGAUUUACUGUGUACCUCACUGCUUUGCCCCUCAAAGUCUGCAGUGAUGUUCAGGUGGGAUCCACUAUCAAAUCAUGAUAUGUUGUCUCAGCACCUAAAGUAUUCUAUGUUGGAGCCUCUGAAAAUGUAGUAAUUCAAGUUCAAGGAUACACAGAAUCUUUUCCAGUGACCAUUGCUAUUAAAAGUUAUCCUGACAAAAGUUUUACAUAUUCUUCUGGCCAAGUUUAUUUAUCUCCAGAAAAUAACUUCCAAAGCUCUGCGAACUUAACUGUAUGUAUUCUUCUUAUAUUUUCUUUUACAUACCAA